GACCGCGUAGCGGCUCAGUUGGCAGAGCAUUGGGCUAGAUUCCAAAGGUCGUAGGUUCGAUUCCCACCGGUGGUCA